CCGCGCCGGCGACGGCGGGCCCGGCCGCAGGUACCAACGGCACCUGUCAGAGGGCAGCGCGGGCGCACCCUGCAAGGGGCCUGCCUCGUCCAGAGAGGCAGCGAGAAACAGCAGCGAUGAACGAAACAAAAUCUUCCUCCACUACGGCUACACAGAGCUCGCGUCGAGGAAGCGGGAACACACAGGCCCCGGUGCUUUCCGAAAGGCGUCUCGCCAGGACCCGCGACCAGCGUGGGGCGGGGGGGGGCCACCCUUUUUGAGAAGCCAGGUUAACACAGAAAUCUGCCUCCUGGGCCAUGCCGCUUCUAAGGCCUGUUUCUUCUCAUGAGCCCCAGCACAAGACAGAUGGGCCAGUUCUCACAGUGGAUAACUUCCCCUGCCUGAGCAAGAGAUGGGAUAGUAUCUGGGAUCUGUCCAUCACCAGACUCUGAGCUUAAUAAGGCAGCUGAAUGAAGGGAGGUGUUGAGCUGGCGAGUUCGCGGAGGCUACUAUUCAGGAAAUCUUAUCCAGAUGGGUACACUGGAAGCU
rnacentral:sRNA from 1 species